CCUACGGGAGGCUGCAGUGAGGAAUAUUGGUCAAUGGGCGCGAGCCUGAACCAGCCAAGUAGCGUGAAGGAUGACUGCCCUACGGGUUGUAAACUUCUUUUAUAAAGGAAUAAAGUGAGGCACGUGUACCUUUUUGUAUGUACUUUAUGAAUAAGGAUCGGCUAACUCCGUGCCAGCAGCCGCGGUAAUACGGAGGAUCCGAGCGUUAUCCGGAUUUGUUGGGUGUAAAGGGAGCGUAGAUGGGUUGGUAAGUCAGUUGUGAAAGUUUGCGGCUCAACCGUAAAAUUGCAAUUGAUACUGGCAGUCUAGAGUACAGUUGAGGUAGGCGGAAUUCGUGGUGUAGCGGUGAAAUGAUUAGAUAUCACGAAGAACUCCGAUUGCGAAGGCAGGUUACUAAACUGCCACUGACAUUGAUGCUCGAAAGUGAGGGUAUCAAACGGGAUUAGAUACCCUUGUAGUC
rnacentral:rRNA from 1 species